AAUUAGUCUAUAGAGAAAUUGAAAUCACCACUAGUAUGUAACCCGGUUAAUGGACUAGGUGAUUUCGAAGAAUGAAUUAAAAGUAUCAGUUUAGUAAGAAAAGAGUUAAGUAUAUAUGAGACAACAAAUAUGAAUGUUAUACUAUAGUUUUGUAGUGAAUAAAUAAAAGUUAUGUACACAUUUUAAUCAUUGUGACAUAAUUAGACAUUUUUUAUGCACUUAUAUGUUAAUCUUCUGACCAUUACAGACACAACUUUUAAAGAUAAAUCCCAAGCAAAGACCACCACCCAUACAACCUUUACGAACACAGGCGAGAGCACAUUGGAUAGGAUUACAGCUCCAUCCCUCAGUUUGUACCACCAUCUCUGCAUUAUUAUUGAUCGAACAAAUAUUUUAACGAACAUAACUUAAUUAAACAAAUUUCAUUAUUUACAUUUAGUAAAAACAUCAUUAUUUACAUAUUAAUUAUUUUUAUGUACUAUUAUGCAAUUAUAAUUAUGAUUGUGAUCGUGUAGACCAGAAUGAUGCGACUUCGCCGGCGUUUGCG
rnacentral:lncRNA from 1 species